AUUGAACGCUGGCGGCAGGCCUAACACAUGCAAGUCGAGCGGAUGAAGGGAGCUUGCUCCUGGAUUCAGCGGCGGACGGGUGAGUAAUGCCUAGGAAUCUGCCUGGUAGUGGGGGAUAACGUCCGGAAACGGGCGCUAAUACCGCAUACGUCCUGAGGGAGAAAGUGGGGGAUCUUCGGACCUCACGCUAUCAGAUGAGCCUAGGUCGGAUUAGCUAGUUGGUGGGGUAAAGGCCUACCAAGGCGACGAUCCGUAACUGGUCUGAGAGGAUGAUCAGUCACACUGGAACUGAGACACGGUCCAGACUCCUACGGGAGGCAGCAGUUGGGAAUAUUGGACAAUGGGCGAAAGCCUGAUCCAGCCAUGCCGCGUGUGUGAAGAAGGUCUUCGGAUUGUAAAGCACUUUAAGUUGGGAGGAAGGGCAUUAAGUUAAUACCUUGCUGUUUUGACGUUACCAACAGAAUAAGCACCGGCUAACUUCGUG
rnacentral:rRNA from 1 species